UACGGGGGGGAGCAAGCGUUGUUCGGAUUUACUGGGCGUAAAGCGCGUGUAGGCGGCCCGGUAAGUCCGCUGUGAAAGUCCAGGGCUCAACCCUGGGAUGCCGGUGGAUACUGUCGGGCUCGAGUCCGGAAGAGGCGAGUGGAAUUCCUGGUGUAGCGGUGAAAUGCGCAGAUAUCAGGAGGAACACCAAUGGCGAAGGCAGCUCGCUGGGACGUGACUGACGCUGAGACGCGAAAGCGUGGGGAGCGAACAGG
rnacentral:rRNA from 1 species